GACGAACCGGACCAGCGUUAUUCGGAAUUACUGGGCUUAAAGGGUGCGUAGGCUGAUUGGCAAGUUGGGUGUGAAAUCCUCGGGCUCAACUGGGGAACUGCCCCCAAUACUGCCGUGCUCGAGGGAGAGAGAGGUGAGCGGAACUCAGGGUGGAGUGGUGAAAUACGUAGAGAUCCGAAGGAACACCGGUGGCGAAAGCGGCUCACUGGGUAUAUACUGACGAUGUGGCGCGAAAGCGAGGGGAGCAAACGGG
rnacentral:rRNA from 1 species